ensembl:lncRNA
CCGCGUUUCAACUUCCGUGGCCGACAUCAAACGCGUCGCUGCAGCCCGAGCCCCCACAGGCCUGACGGAGGAGCAAAAAGAGAGGGCUGGAGGCAGCAGAUCCUAAUCUUUAUUAAAUAAGAACAAAGCUUAUGCCGGCUAAUGAGAAAAACAAACUGAUGAAAGAUCCGGCGAGCUCCUCCGAAGGACACAAAGAAAUUCUCUCUGAACGAGAGCACGCUAAAAAUAUGCCCGAAUAUUUAUUUUGCUGGCAGUGGCUUCACAGGCUCCAGAUUUGAUGCCGUCUCUUGGGGGACUGGCACAGUGACGAGGGAGCAGGGUGCUCUAUCCCGUGCCCCAUCCAGAGCUGUGGCAGUGCCAGGCGGUAGCCACUGGGUCUAUGUGCUGUUGGGCCUCCAUGGUGCCAGGCCUAUGUGCCACCAGGUCUGUGAGGAGAUAAGGGCACUUUGCUAUCUUUUGGAUGCCCCAUUCCUGGAGGUGUUCAAGGCCAGGAUAGAUGGAGCCCUGGGCAACCUGGUCUUGUGCCUGAUGUAGUGGUUGGCAACCCUGCCCGUGGCACAAGCGACCGCCCUCAGCCACGUGCUGCUCGGUGUAGGACUUUCUGUAGGUACAGGAGCCGCAUCCCAUCCUGAAGCAAAGUGGGAGCUGACAGAUUUUGCAAACAGCCCCUCCCGACGGCACUGUUUUUGGAUUACAGCCUGCACCUCACUAUGAGCACCGCGCCAGAGACUGAUGCUUCCCAGCACAGGGAGAGGAAACCGAGGAAAAACACAGCACCCCCAGCGAGAAGAGGUGCCCAGGCUCUGCCCUGACCCACUGCUGUUCAGCAGGAGGAAGCAAAGUGGUG